rnacentral:rRNA from 1 species
GACGAACGCUGGCGGCGUGCUUAACACAUGCAAGUCGAACGGAAAGGCCCUGCUUUUGUGGGGUGCUCGAGUGGCGAAAGGGUGAGUAACACGUGAGUAACCUGCCCUUGACUUUGGGAUAACUUCAGGAAAAUGGGGCUAAUACCGGAUAGGAGCUCCUGCUGCACGGUGGGGGUUGGAAAGUUUCGGCGGUUGGGGAUGGACUCGCGGCUUAUCAGCUUGUUGGUGGGGUAGUGGCUUACCAAGGCUUUGACGGGUAGCCGGCCUGAGAGGGUGACCGGCCACAUUGAAACUGAGAUGCGGCCCGGACUCCAACGGGAGGCAGCAGUGAGGAAUAUUGCACAAUGGGCGGAAGCCUUGUGCAGCAACGCCGCGUGCGGGAUGACGGCCUUCGGAUUGUAAACCGCUUUCGCCUGUGACGAAGCGUGAGUGACGGUAAUGGGUAAAGAAGCACCGACUAACUACGUG